rnacentral:rRNA from 1 species
GACGAACGCUGGCGGCGUGCUUAACACAUGCCAGUCGAACGGAAAGGCCCUGCUUUUGUGGGGUGCUCGAGUGGCGAACGGGUGAGUAACACGUGAGUAACCUGCCCUUGACUUUAGGAUAACUUCAGGAAACUGGGGCUAAUACCGGAUAGGAGCUCCUGCUGCAUGGUGGGGGUUGGAAAGUUUCGGCGGUUGGGGAUGGACUCGCGGCUUAUCAGCUUGUUGGUGGGGUAGUGGCUUACCAAGGCUUUGACGGGUAGCCGGCCUGAGAGGGUGACCGGCCACAUUGGGACUGAGAUACGGCCCAGACUCCUACGGGAGGCAGCAGUGGGGAAUAUUGCACAAUGGGCGGAAGCCUGAUGCAGCAACGCCGCGUGCGGGAUGACGGCCUUCGGGUUGUAAACCGCUUUCGCCUGUGACGAAGCGUGAGUGACGGUAAUGGGUAAAGAAGCACCGGCUAACUACGUG